AGGGCAACAGGUGAAUGCCUUGGCGCUGAGAGGCGAUGAAAGACGCGGUAAGCUGCGAUAAGCAUCGGGGAGGAGCUAAACAUCCUACGAUCCGAUGAUUUCUGAAUGGGGAAACCCGAUGGGAGUCAUGUCCCAUCAUCCUGAGCUGAAUAUAUAGGCUCAGAGAAGCCAACCCGGGGAAGUGAAACAUCUCAGUACCCGGAGGAAGAGAAAUCAAACGAGACUCCCAAAGUAGCGGCGAGCGAAAUGGGAAGAGCCCAAACCGAGUGGUUUCGACCAUUCGGGGUUGUAGGGCCGGCAUACGCGAUUCUGGAGUAGGCAGAGGAAGUGAGCUGGAAAGCUCCGCCACAGCGGGUGAUAGCCCCGUACUCGAAACCGAAAAGGACGCAGCCGGUACCUGAGUACUGCGAGGCACGUGGAACCUCGUGGGAAUCUAGGGGGACCAUCCUCUAAGGCUAAGUACUCCUCAGCGACCGAUAGUGAACUAGUACCGUGAGGGAAAGGUGAAAAGAACCCCUGUUAGGGGAGUGAAAUAGAAUCUGAAACCUGUUGCCUACAAGCUGCGAGAGCUACUUCGGUAGUGAUCGCGUGCCUUUUGUAUAAUGAGUCAGCGAGUUACUCUACCGUGCGAGGUUAAGCGAAAGCGUAGCCGUAGUGAAAGCGAGGCUUAAUAGGCCGACUAGUACGUUGGAGUAGACCCGAAACCGGGUGAUCUAUCCAUGAGCAGGUUGAAGCAAGGGUAAAGCCUUGUGGAGGACCGAACCGUCAACGGCUGAAAACGUUCCGGAUGACUUGUGGAUAGGGGUGAAAGGUCAAUCAAACCCGGUGAUAGCUGGUUCUCCCCGAAAUAUAUUGAGGUAUAGCCUCGGGAAUUGAUUAGCGGAGGUAAAGCACUGACAGAGCUAGGGGUCCUACCAGAUUACCAAACUCUAUCAAACUCAGAAUGCCGCUUAAUUGUAUCCCGGGAGUCAGACGGCGGGUGCGAAGGUUCGUCGUCAAAAGGGAAACAGCCCAGACCAACAGCUAAGGUCUCCAAAUCCAUGCUCAGUGGUGAAGGUAGUGGAACCGUUUAGACAGCCAGGACGUUGGCUUAGAAGCAGCCAUCGUUUAAAGAAAGCGUAAUAGCUCACUGGUCUAAUGGCUCUGCGCCGAAAAUGUAACGGGGCUAAGCAUGGUACCGAAGCUUUGGCAAUCCCCUUUGGGGAUUGGGUAGGGGAGCGUUCGCUGCGGGCUGAAGGUGUAUCGGAAGGUAUGCUGGACUGCAGUGAAGUGAUUAUGCUGACAUGAGUAACGAUAAAAUAUGUGAAAAACAUAUUCGCCGAAAACCCGAGGUUUCCUGGGUAAAGGUAAUCUUCCCAGGGUUAGUCGGAUCCUAAGGUGAGGGUGAAAGCCGUAACCGAUGGAAAACAGGUUAAUAUUCCUGUACUUGUUGUGUAGCGCGAUGGAGGGACGCAGGAAGAUAGGCGGGCCGGGUGUUGGAUAUCCCGGUGCAAGCGUGUAGGAAUAUCCGGUAGGCAAAUCCGCCGGACGAAUCUGAGACGCGAGUCCGUGGGCGCAAGCCCUGAAGCCGUUGAGUCUAUGCUGCCUAGAAAAGCUCCUAAGUUUAUCCACAGCAAUCCGUACCGCAAACCAACUCAGGUGGGUGGGAUGAACAAUCCAAGGCGCUCGAGAGAACUCUGGCCAAGGAACUCGGCAAAAUAACCCCGUAACUUCGGAAGAAGGGGUGCUCUCUAGGGUGACAUGUUUAACAUAUGAAGCCCCGGGGAGCCGCAGUGAAUUGGUGGGGGCGACUGUUUACUAAAAACAUAGGUCUGUGCGAAGUCCUAAAGACGACGUAUACGGACUGACGCCUGCCCGGUGCUGGAAGGUUAAAAGGAGGGGUCAGCGCAAGCAAAGCUCCGAAUUGAAGCCCCAGUAAACGGCGGCCGUAACUAUAACGGUCCUAAGGUAGCGAAAUUCCUUGUCGGGUAAGUUCCGACCUGCACGAAUGGCGUAACGAUCUCCACACUGUCUCGGCCAGAGACUCGGUGAAAUUGCAGUCGCGGUGAAAAUUCCGUGUACCCGCAGAAAGACGGAAAGACCCUGUGCACCUUUACUAUAGCUUGACAUUGGAUUUUGGGCCUGCAUGUGUAGGAUAGGUGGGAGGCUGUGAACCCUGUACGCCAGUAUGGGGGGAGCCAUCCUUGAAAUACCACCCUUGCAUGUUUAAGAUCCUAACUUCUUCCGGUUAUCCCGGAGAAAGA
rnacentral:rRNA from 1 species